rnacentral:rRNA from 2 species
AAACUUUCAACAACGGAUCUCUUGGUUUUGGCAUCGAUGAAGAACGCAGCGAAAUGCGAUAAGUAAUGUGAAUUGCAGAAUUCAGUGAAUCAUCGAAUCUUUGAACGCACAUUG